rnacentral:rRNA from 1 species
CCCUUAGAUGUUCUGGGCAGCACGCGCGCUACAAUGGUCUUCGCAAACGGAUGCAUUCUCGAAGGAGAAUGGCAAUCUUGGAAUCUAUGCCUUGGUCGGGACAGUUGCUUGCAAUUUUUCGACUCGAACCAGGAAUUCCUUGUAAUCGUGAUUCAUCACAUCACGAUGAAUACGUCCCUGCCCUUUGUACACACCGCCCGUCGCUCCUACCGAUCGAAGAGUUAGGUGAAUUGUUUUGAUCGAUAAGAUUUGACUAUGGUCAACUCUCGUUGUGAAAUUCUGUGAAUCUGACUGUUUAGAGGAAGGAAAAGUCGUAACA